CCCAAUGUGGAAUUCGCCUUAGAGUUUGUGCUGGCUCAGAACGAACGCUGGCGGCGUGCUUAAUACAUGCAAGUCGAGCGAGAAAGCUCCCCUUCGGGGGGUGAGUAAAGCGGCGAACGGGUGAGUAACACGUGGGCAACCUGCCCUCGGAUUCGGGACAAGCUUCCGAAAGGAGGUCUAAUACCGAAUAUGGUCGUUUGGUGGCAUCGCCGAACGAGCAAAGAUAGCCACUACUGUAAGCUAUCGUCCGGGGAUGGGCCCGCGGCCCAUUAGCUUGUUGGUGAGGUAAAGGCUCACCAAGGCGACGAUGGGUAGCCGGCCUGAGAGGGUGAUCGGCCACACUGGGACUGAGAUACGGCCCAGACUCCUACGGGAGGCAGCAGUAGGGAAUAUUGCGCAAUGGGCGAAAGCCUGACGCAGCAACGCCGCGUGAGCGAUGAAGGUCCUCGGAUCGUAAAGCUCUGUCAGAGGGGACGAACGUUCCGCGUUUAAUAAACGCGGGAUCUGACGGUACCCUCAGAGGAAGCACCGGCCAACUCCGUGCCAGCAGCCGCGGUAAUACGGGGGGGUGCAAGCGUGUUCGGAUUCACUGGGCGUAAAGAGCAUGUAGGCGGUUCGGCCAGUUCCGUGUGUAUUCUCCCGGCUCACCCGGGAAACUGCACGGGAUUCUACUGAUCUUGAGUGCGAGAGAGGAUGGCGAAAUUCCUGGUGUAGCGGUGAAAUGCGUUGAUUUCAGGAGGAACACCGGUGGCGAAGGCGGCCUUCUGGCUCGAACCUGACGCUGAGAUGCGAAGGCCGGGGGAGCAAACAGGAUUAGAUACCCUGGUAGUCCCGGCAGUAAACGUUGGACACUAGGUGUAGGGGGUUCGACCCCUUCUGUGCCGCAGUUAACGCAUUAAGUGUCCCGCCUGGGGAGUACGGCCGCAAGGCUGAAACUCAAAGGAAUUGACGGGGGCCCGCACAAGCGGUGGAGUUUGUGGUUUAAUUCGACGCAACGCGAAGAACCUUACCUGGGUUUGACAUGCACGGGACAGGAGCAGAGACGUUCCCUCCCCGUCGGGGGUCCGUGCACAGGUGCUGCAUGGCUGUCGUCAGCUCGUGCCGUGAGGUGUUGGGUUAAGUCCCGCAACGAGCAAGGGCGAAUUCCACAGUG
rnacentral:rRNA from 1 species